rnacentral:sRNA from 1 species
GCUGGGCAUGGUGGGUGACGCAUGCCUGUAAUCCCAGCGGCUCUGGAGGCUGCAGCAGGAGGAUUACAAGCUCAAAGCCAACCUCAGCAAACAUGAGGUGCUAAGCAACUCAGUGAGAUCCUGUCUCUA